GAUGAACGCUGGCGGCGUGCCUAAUACAUGCAAGUCGAGCGAACAGACGAGGAGCUUGCUCCUCUGACGUUAGCGGCGGGCGGGUGAGUAACACGUGGAUAACCUACCUAUAAGUCUGGGAUAACUUCGGGAAACCGGAGCUAAUACCGGAUAAUAUAUUGAACCGCAUGGUUCAAUAGUGAAAGACGGUUUUGCUGUCACUUAUAGAUGGUUCCGCGCCGCAUUAGCUAGUUGGUAAGGUAACGGCUUACCAAGGCAACGAUGCGUAGCCGACCUGAGAGGGUGAUCGGCCACACUGGAACUGAGACACGGUCCAGACUCCUACGGGAGGCAGCAGUAGGGAAUCUUCCGCAAUGGGCGAAAGCCUGACGGAGCAACGCCGCGUGAGUGAUGAAGGUCUUCGGAUCGUAAAACUCUGUUAUUAGGGAAGAACAAAUGUGUAAGUAACUAUGCACGUCUUGACGGUACCUAAUCAGAAAGCCACGGCUAACUACGUG
rnacentral:rRNA from 1 species